rnacentral:rRNA from 1 species
UACAGAGGUCUCAAGCGUUGUUCGGAUUCAUUGGGCGUAAAGGGUGCGUAGGCGGCGCGGUAAGUCGGGUGUGAAAUCUCGGGGCUCAACCCCGAAACUGCACUUGAUACUGCGGUGCUCGAGGACUGGAGAGGAGAUUGGAAUUCAUGGUGUAGCAGUGAAAUGCGUAGAUAUCAUGAGGAAGACCAGUGGCGAAGGCGGAUCUCUGGACAGUUCCUGACACUGAGGCACGAAGGCCAGGGGAGCAAACGGG